GUCUAAAACGUUCAGUAGUUACUCCAGAUAGUCAAAAAGCAAAAAACUAAAACCAAAUCCUGGAUACUAAUAAAAUGAUUCAACAACACAUUAAAGAAUAGCAACAGUUCUUCGAAUAGCAACUGGUUUUACUGUGACGAAUCAAUGGUUCGAUCGACCAUUUUUAAAAGCGUCUCGUUGCAUAUAUCAUAAAAAAUAUGCGAACCAACGUUUACCAGUUGGUAUGGUCACAAGAAUGCAAAGUUAUUUAUCAACGUUAUUUACAUUUUUCAACGUUUCACCAUCGUGUGACAAGUUUUAUAAACGUGCUUUUUUAACAUUCAUCAAAAAACUAUUGUACCAACCAUAGUUUUCUUGUUCAUUCUCAAACUGGUUACAACAGCAUCACAUGUCUCAAAUGGAAAAGUUCCAUAGCGAGCUAGAUAACUUAACAAUUCGUUGGCCUGGUGGAUCGGAUAUUCAAUUCAGUGAUGACCAAAAACUCAAACAGGUAGUCAGAAAACAAUAUCCAGAUUGGAAACUCAAGGGAAAGGUGACUUCAAUCCCCGCGGUGAGGGUUCCUUCAAUGUUUCUGGGACCAGAGAUGAUGAGCGAACGACUGAACAAACAAUACGAACGAAUUCAAAAAGGCGAGGAAGGCGAGUUGAAAGUAUACAGAAAAAUGCGCGAUGGAUUUGGACCAGACCAACCUGGCAUUAUGAUUCUACCAAACUUAGAUACCAAUGGGCUGUUUAAAUCGAAAUCAGGAGUAGUAGAAAUCGACAUUAUAGUUUUACACCCAUCGAAAGGUAUCUUUGUCGUGAGUGUUAAAAACCGAAAAAUGGGUGAUCAAAGACCUGGCAUGGACGGUGCAGCAGUGAAAAAUUUUGAAGACGAAUUCAAAGAAAAACUAAAGAAAGAAAUGCUUAAGCACACUGAUUUUAUCGUGCAGCUCUCGAACUACAAAACAUCACCUUGUUCGUCUAGUUCCAGCCUUGAUUUUAUUCCCGUACACGCUGUUUUCUGCCAACUUUCGUGGAGCUCAGAAAAUAUGCAAGAUCUGGAAACAAACAAGGAAUGGUAUACUUCCAAUGACACUGAACAUGUUUUAAUGUUUCAACAGCCAGAUUUUACAAACUUUCAGAAAAACUGGUCUGAAAAAAUGUCACAAAUUCGUGACAUCGCAAUGCACGAUCACUUUGAAACCACUAUCGCCCGUUUAGUAGCAUUGAGUUCGAUGGACAGUGCAACUGCACUCAUACACGAUAAAAUGAUAUCCAAUAGCUUGCAGUCAAUUCAAGCUAAACAGAAAGAUCUGAAGACUAGACUUGAUCAACAAUUUGCCAAUACAUCCGGAAACAUUAGUGAGGAUUCAUUGAGAGAACUGAAAAAUAUUAUGCAGAAAGAAAUUGUACAAUCUAAUAGAAAUCAGUCGAAAAGAGGAAAAAUGAAAGUUAUUCUUUGGACCAAGGAACAGCUGGAAAUAAUUGCAGAAGUCUAUGAAACUUUAACAUGCAAUGACGGUAGACUACUGCGUAUGCAUGUGAAAGGUCCUAAAGGUUCUGGGAAAACAAUGCUUUUAAUAUACUUGGCCAAACUAGCACAAGCUAUUCUCGAUGCUAAAAAGCAGAAAUCUUGCAAGCAAGUGUUUAUCUGUUGUGGGACUUUCGAGCCAUCCGCCGUGCUAUAUGCGCAUUUACGAAAAGUUUUGGACGGUUCAAAGGUUGUGAUACUUAAGGAUGUUUUAAAGGAUUUUGCAGAGAAAAUAGUUUACUUAGAAGGAAUAAUUUUUCUUGACGAAACAGAUAAUCUUUUCCCCAACAAGAAAAUCCUCUGUGAAAUGAAAAAAAAUCAUGUGUGUUUAUUUACUUCAAUGAGGAUACCACUUGACUACCAACGGAGUUUUAAUCUUCGGACUCUAAGUUACAACCUACGAUCCACAAUUCAACUAUCUCAGUUCUGUACGAGCAUGAGAUCUGCGUUUCAGUACACUGUGGACAUCAAAGGAAAAUGCGCUCACAAUCUCGAGGGAGAACAGCCAGAUAUAGUAGUUUCCUCGCCAGGUGAGCUACUUGAGAUUUGCCUGGCAAUCAUUGCUAAGUACUCUCAGGAGUCCUUGGACGCUUAUUCAACACUCGUCAGUUCAAGAUAUCUAUCACCAGCUUCUGAUAUCGCUCUCCACCGCCUGCUUACUCAACAUGACAUAAAAUAUUACAGCCAAAUCGACUUGAACUGCAUCGACGAAAAGCUAAUGCAAAGCUCAAAUCAAAUCUGCUUAUUAAAUGAAGGAGUUAUAGGAGCGGAGUUUGGAACAGUCAUUUUGCCAUUAGAAGCAUCAUGCCGUCGCCCAAUAGAAGAAGACAUCCUUAAUAUCAUUACACGAGCUACUAUGCGACUAGUUGUUAUAGUUGAACAGCCAGAAUGUGCACAUCUAUCGAGAGAACUUGCAAGAUCAGAUAUAAUCGAUCAUGUAAAAAAUAACCCUCAACGCCACUAUUAUAUAAGAGAGCAGGAUAUACCAGAUUACUUUGAAGGACUGCAGAAGAUUGGCAGUAUUCUUGAACAAGCGCAGAGCGUGAUUGUUGUUGGAGAUUAUCCUUAUUUACCAAACUUCUCAUUGGUUGAGCCGAUACAAAACAAAACAUUCCCCAAAACUGUCAAACAAUACGUUCACAGAAGUGGUCUAAAUAUUUUUGCGUUUCCUAACGUGAUGGUCUUAUGUAAGCAUUUUCUGUACCAUUUUGAGUCAACCGAAAAUAGCUUUAUCAUAGCCAUAGCUAUUGUCAAAAACUACACAGAUUAUUUUCUGAUGGAUUUCUUUACCCGUAACACAGUGUAUCACCACACACUGUUUGAAAUAAAAUUUAUAUGCAUACCCCCCGACAAAGAAAAUUAUAAAUUACUGUUCGAUUUGUUGCUCGCUCAAAAACAGAACCGCUGUGGCCUCCGAAAAACUACAAAACCCAUUCAUUCAGAAGAACAGAAAAUAGCAGAGUUUCAUUCUGAUCAAAAAAAUAAUGUACCGUAUUCCUGGCAAGACUGGAAAGAGCUGGCCAAAAGUCACAGACUUGAGCAAGCUGAUAUAGAAUUCAUUUUAUUCUUUCGAAUAAGUCACAGUAAACUCACAGCUCUAUACGAAAGAUUUGAUGGCACUUUGGAUACGUUAAUUAGCUAUCGUCAAGAAUUGGCUAAAUUGUGCACAAAUUUUUCAAAAAUCAAAUACGAUUUGGCCGCAACUGAAAAGCUAUCUUUGAAAGCAGGUCUUGAACUGAUUAAAAGUAUCAGUUUUGCGUUAGAAGCAAGUAGGUGGAAUCCAAAAUGGUCCAAAAGUUAUUACAGAAUGAAAAAAGCAAGUAAAGUAGAGUUUGACUUAACGUACGAUGAAAACGCUAGCGAUGCAAUGUUUAACACUUUGAAGCAAGACAGCCUAUUUAAGUUACAUAACAUGCUUUCGCUUACUUUGAAGACGAAAAACAUGAAGGAAGAAAAACUCAAUGAAGAAAUUGCCCGAAUUUUGAACGAUAAAAGUGAAGAUGCAAUUAACUAUAGAAAACAAAUUUCCGAGGAAAUGUUGAAUGCAGCAAGAUAUUAUUUUCAAAGUGAAUCACCCAAUGAUUGUUUAACCACUUACAAUUUAGUGCUAGACGCGAAGUUCAUGAAUCCAGACAGUCCUAAUUGCUCAAUCUUUUUAAAAGAGCAUGUGGAAUUUCUGCACUCAAAAGCAACUGAACGAGAAUUGUUGUUCAAAAAAGUCCAAGAGGACAAAUUGUUGCGAGAACUUGUUCUAUUUGACAUCGGCUACAACUUAAUAACAAAACUAAACAAAAAUCCAGACCAAGAGAUACCGAUACAAUCUACCAGAUUCCAGGAUAUGUAGCAUUUUGAUUCUACUAACACCUUUUCAAUA